AGCCAGCUUGCUUGGUGGAUCAGUGGCGAACGGGUGAGUAACACGUGAGCAACCUGCCCUGGACUCUGGGAUAAGCGCUGGAAACGGCGUCUAAUACUGGAUAUGAGCCUCUUCCGCAUGGUGGGGGUUGGAAAGAUUUUUUGGUCUGGGAUGGGCUCGCGGCCUAUCAGCUUGUUGGUGAGGUAAUGGCUCACCAAGGCGUCGACGGGUAGCCGGCCUGAGAGGGUGACCGGCCACACUGGGACUGAGACACGGCCCAGACUCCUACGGGAGGCAGCAGUGGGGAAUAUUGCACAAUGGGCGAAAGCCUGAUGCAGCAACGCCGCGUGAGGGAUGACGGCCUUCGGGUUGUAAACCUCUUUUAGCAGGGAAGAAGCGAAAGUGACGGUACCUGCAGAAAAAGCGCCGGCUAACUACGUGCCAGCAGCCGCGGUAAUACGUAGGGCGCAAGCGUUAUCCGGAAUUAUUGGGCGUAAAGAGCUCGUAGGCGGUUUGUCGCGUCUGCUGUGAAAUCCCGAGGCUCAACCUCGGGCCUGCAGUGGGUACGGGCAGACUAGAGUGCGGUAGGGGAGAUUGGAAUUCCUGGUGUAGCGGUGGAAUGCGCAGAUAUCAGGAGGAACACCGAUGGCGAAGGCAGAUCUCUGGGCCGUAACUGACGCUGAGGAGCGAAAGGGUGGGGAGCAAACAGGCUUAGAUACCCUGGUAGUCCACCCCGUAAACGUUGGGAACUAGUUGUGGGGACCAUUCCACGGUUUCCGUGACGCAGCUAACGCAUUAAGUUCCCCGCCUGGGGAGUACGGCCGCAAGGCUAAAACUCAAAGGAAUUGACGGGGACCCGCACAAGCGGCGGAGCAUGCGGAUUAAUUCGAUGCAACGCGAAGAACCUUACCAAGGCUUGACAUACACCAGAACGGGCCAGAAAUGGUCAACUCUUUUGGACACUGGUGAACAGGUGGUGCAUGGUUGUCGUCAGCUCGUGUCGUGAGAUGUUGGGGUUAAGUCCCGGCACCGAGCGCAACCCUUCGUUCUAUGUUGCCAGCACGUAAUGGUGGGGAACUCAUGGGGAUACUGGCCGGGGUCAACU
rnacentral:rRNA from 1 species